GACGAACGCUGGCGGCGUGCUUAACACAUGCAAGUCGAACGGACAGGCCCUGCUUUUGUGGGGUGCUCGAGUGGCGAACGGGUGAGUAACACGUGAGUAACCUGCCCUUGACUUUGGGAUAACUUCAGGAAACUGGGGCUAAUACCGGAUAGGAGCUCCUGCUGCAUGGUGGGGGUUGGAAAGUUUCGGCGGUUGGGGAUGGUCUCGCGGCUUAUCAGCUUGUUGGUGGGGUAGUGGCUUACCAAGGCUUCGACGGGUAGCCGGCCUGAGAGGGUGACCGGCCACAUUGGGACUGAGAUACGGCCCAGACGCCAACGUGAGGCAGCAGUGGGGAAUAUUGCACAAUGGGCGGAAGCCAGAUGCAGCAACGCCGCGUGCGGGAUGACGGCCUUCGGGUUGUAAACCUCUUUCGCCUGUGACGAGGCGUGAGUGACGGUAAUGGGUAAAGAAGCACCGGCUAACUACGUG
rnacentral:rRNA from 1 species